AUCCAGCUGAUGAGUCCCAAAUAGGACGAAACGUGCAUCAUGGAU
rnacentral:hammerhead_ribozyme from 1 species